CAUAGGUUAAUGAGGCGAACCGGGGGAACUGAAACAUCUAAGUACCCCGAGGAAAAGAAAUCAACCGAGAUUCCCCCAGUAGCGGCGAGCGAACGGGGAGGAGCCCAGAGCCUGAAUCAGUGUGUGUGUUAGUGGAAGCGUCUGGAAAGGCGCGCGAUACAGGGUGACAGCCCCGUACACAAAAAUGCACAUACUGUGAGCUCGAUGAGUAGGGCGGGACACGUGGUAUCCUGUCUGAAUAUGGGGGGACCAUCCUCCAAGGCUAAAUACUCCUGACUGACCGAUAGUGAACCAGUACCGUGAGGGAAAGGCGAAAAGAACCCCGGCGAGGGGAGUGAAAAAGAACCUGAAACCGUGUACGUACAAGCAGUGGGAGCCUCUUAAUGGGGUGACUGCGUACCUUUUGUAUAAUGGGUCAGCGACUUAUAUUCUGUAGCAAGGUUAACCGAAUAGGGGAGCCGAAGGGAAACCGAGUCUUAACUGGGCGUUAAGUUGCAGGGUAUAGACCCGAAACCCGGUGAUCUAGCCAUGGGCAGGUUGAAGGUUGGGUAACACUAACUGGAGGACCGAACCGACUAAUGUUGAAAAAUUAGCGGAUGACUUGUGGCUGGGGGUGAAAGGCCAAUCAAACCGGGAGAUAGCUGGUUCUCCCCGAAAGCUAUUUAGGUAGCGCCUCGUGAAUUCAUCUCCGGGGGUAGAGCACUGUUUCGGCAAGGGGGUCAUCCCGACUUACCAACCCGAUGCAAACUGCGAAUACCGGAGAAUGUUAUCACGGGAGACACACGGCGGGUGCUAACGUCCGUCGUGAAGAGGGAAACAACCCAGACCGCCAGCUAAGGUCCCAAAGUCAUGGUUAAGUGGGAAACGAUGUGGGAAGGCCCAGACAGCCAGGAUGUUGGCUUAGAAGCAGCCAUCAUUUAAAGAAAGCGUAAUAGCUCACUGGUCGAGUCGGCCUGCGCGGAAGAUGUAACGGGGCUAAACCAUGCACCGAAGCUGCGGCAGCGACGCUUAUGCGUUGUUGGGUAGGGGAGCGUUCUGUAAGCCUGUGAAGGUGGCCUGUGAGGGUUGCUGGAGGUAUCAGAAGUGCGAAUGCUGACAUAAGUAACGAUAAAGCGGGUGAAAAGCCCGCUCGCCGGAAGACCAAGGGUUCCUGUCCAACGUUAAUCGGGGCAGGGUGAGUCGACCCCUAAGGCGAGGCCGAAAGGCGUAGUCGAUGGGAAACAGGUUAAUAUUCCUGUACUUGGUGUUACUGCGAAGGGGGGACGGAGAAGGCUAUGUUGGCCGGGCGACGGUUGUCCCGGUUUAAGCGUGUAGGCUGGUUUUCCAGGCAAAUCCGGAAAAUCAAGGCUGAGGCGUGAUGACGAGGCACUACGGUGCUGAAGCGACAAAUGCCCUGCUUCCAGGAAAAG
rnacentral:rRNA from 1 species